UCCGGUUUUGUGGAGUUGAGUUAGGUUUAAGUCCACUUCGAAAGUUCCAUGUCAACUAGAGAUAAGGUCAAGUUAUAAUAUAUAAGUGGGGUACAAACCUUAAUUUAGAAGCUGGUUUUGUAAGCUUACAGCACCUUGUUUCUCGCGAGGCUGAUCCUCUGGAACCUAAGGUUGUCAUUGGUCAAGCUGCUGUGCAGAGGUGUAACGCAACUAUCAGAUCCCUUGAUGAAACGGAAACCUUCUACCCUCCAACAGUACAUAAUGAUGAUUUGCACAAGCUUUUUGUUGAUCUUGCUGGGAAUCUGCUUGACAUCAAUGAAGUUAAUACUGACACUUCAUUUGGGUUAUAUUUUCCUUUCAAACACUAGUUAGUUUACUGUUUUAAAACAUGUCUUCUGUUUCUGUCAUGUUUGGCAGUGACACUGGUACCACAACUAUGCAGCAAAAUAGGGUAAACAGAGGGGCUUGUUGAUGUUGCCAACUUGAAACAAAAGUAUAAUUCUGAUAUCUGGGUAUGUUUCGUAGCGCUAGCCUUAGCAUCUUAGUUACAAGA